ACGAAGGGUGCAAGCGUUAAUCGGAAUUACUGGGCGUAAAGCGUGCGUAGAUGGCUUUUUAAGUCGACUGUGAAACCCCUGGGCUCAACCUGGGACGUGCAGUCGAUACUGAGGAGCUUGGAGUCUGAGAGAGGGUGGUGGAAUUCCUGGUGUAGCGGUGAAAUGCGUAGAGAUCAGGAGGAACACUAGUGGCGAAGGCGGCCACCUGGCUUAAGACUGACGUUGAGGCACGAAAGCGUGGGGAGCAAACAGGAUUAGAUACCCUGGUAGUCCACGCCCUAAACGAUGAUCACUGGACGUUGGGGGCAAUCAGGCCCUUAGUGUCGAAGCUAACGCGUGAAGUGAUCCGCCUGGGGAGUACGCUCGCAAGAGUG
rnacentral:rRNA from 1 species